AAUCAGAUAAUGAUAGACAGGGACAAAGCCUGUGGCGAGCCUAACUAGCAUUAACCUUCAUUUAACUUAUACCUACAACGUCACAGCAUUUAUCAAACUUAUAAACACACAGAAUGGAGUAAACAGUCUUGCUUAGCAUGUAUAAUUAUUAAGCCCAGAUUAUGUAACCAGUCCGAGGGAAAGAGGAAAAGAAGUUGCUGUUCAGUUUGCAGUUCUGUGAUCUCUCCUGGCUUUGUGGUCGUAGAGUUCUGCAUUCGCAAUUUUGUCGAGCCGUGCCCAGCAGCAGCAGGUGCACCGGGAGACGAGCGAGGAGGACUCGACCAUGAUGAGCGAGUGGAGGCAGACAUGGUUGUUGUGAUAUAUUUGAGGAGUCGUUCUCCCUCUGUUUUAUAUGUGGACAUUUGGGACCACUGUUAGAAUUUGGUUGACCACUUGACAUGUGAGAGCCUGAGGAGUUGUUCCCCCUCUGUCCAUGUUCGAGGACUUGCUCUCUGUCUGCCUCCACUCUCUGCCUUCACUGUACCAAAGUUUGUCUGUUGAGUCUCCUCUAGUCUGGUUGACCACUUGACAUGUGAAAGCCUGAGGAGUUGUUUUCCAGACACAGUUAGAGCUGGCAGGGGCGUCACCCUUGGCCUGCCCUUUUGAGCUGGGCUUCAGCUGCAGAUCUAAAGGCUGCUUCCAAGGGCAUGGGGCCCUCAGCCCUUUUCUUUGCUUCUGCACCUUACAACAUAUAUCACACCUUAUUUUCACACAUCCAAACACUGUUAAUACCACUGACGCGUAACAUAUUUUACAAAUCCCACUACGUAGUUAGAGCUAUCUGGAGUUAAAUAAAUUUACUUUUGGCUUGA